rnacentral:rRNA from 1 species
AACGGCGAGUGAAGCGGCACAGCUCAAAUUUGAAAUCUGGCUCUUUCAGGGUCCGAGUUGUAAUUUGCAGAGGAUGCUUUGGGUUCGGCUCCGGUCUAAGUUCCUUGGAACAGGACGUCAUAGAGGGUGAGAAUCCCGUAUGUGACUGGUCGCCACGCCCGUGUGAAGCUCCUUCGACGAGUCGAGUUGUUUGGGAAUGCAGCUCAAAAUGGGUGGUAAAUUUCAUCUAAAGCUAAAUAUUGGCCAGAGACCGAUAGCGCACAAGUAGAGUGAUCGAAAGAUGAAAAGCACUUUGGAAAGAGAGUCAAACAGUACGUGAAAUUGUUGAAAGGGAAGCGCUUGCAACCAGACUUGCCCGCGGGUGAUCAGCCGGUAUUCUUACCGGUGCACUCGCCCGUGGUCAGGCCAGCAUCGGUUUGGGCGGCUGGAUAAAGUCCACCGGAAUGUAGCUCCCCUCGGGGAGUGUUAUAGCCGGAGGUGCCAUGCAGCCCGCCCGGACCGAGGACCGCGCUUCGGCUAGGAUGCUGGCGUAAUGGUUGUAAGCGACCCGUCUUGAAACACGGACCAAGGAGUCUAACAUCUAUGCGAGUGUUUGGGUGUCAAACCCAUGCGCGUAAUGAAAGUGAACGGAGGUGGGAACCCUUAAGGGUGCACCAUCGACCGAUCCUGAUGUCUUCGGAUGGAUUUGAGUAAGAAGCAUAGCUGUUGGGACCCGAAAGAUGGUGAACUAUGCCUGAAUAGGGUGAAGCCAGAGGAAACUCUGGUGGAGGCUCGCAGCGGUUCUGACGUGCAAAUCGAUCGUCAAAUUUGGGUAUAGGGGCGAAAGACUAAUCGAACCAUCUA